rnacentral:rRNA from 1 species
AACGAACGCUGGCGGCAUGCCUAACACAUGCAAGUCGAACGCUACAUUCGGGUCUGGUGGCGCACGGUGGCGUACCGCGGGGGAACAUGCGCUUAGCUUCGGCAUAACUCCCCGAAAGGGGUGCUAAUACCGGGCUAUUACUUCGUGCCAACGCUUUCUCGGCUUGGGCUGGGCCCGCGUUGGAUUCGGUAGGGGGUAGGGUAACAGCCUACCAAGGCGACGAUCCAGAGCUGGGCUGAGAGGAGGACCAGCCACACUGGGACUGAGACACGGCCCGGACUGGUACGGGAGGCAGCAGUGGGGAAUACUGUACGAGGGGCGAAAGCCUGAUCCAGCCAUGCCGGGUGAGAGAGGAAGGCCUUAGGGUUGCAAAUCUCGUUUGGCCGGGAUGAUAGUGACGGUACCUGGAGAAGAAGCACCGGCUAACUCCGUG